AAGUACUCCCUCCGUCCUUAAAAAAUAAAAAAAGACAAACCCUAGAUUUUUGUGUCCAACAUUUGACUAUCCGUCUUAUAUAAAUUUUUUUAUAAUUAGUAUUUUCAUUGUUGUUAGAUGAUAAAACAUGAUUAAUAUUUUAUGCGUGACUUAUCUUUUUAAUUUUUUCAUAUUUUUUUUAAAUGAGACGGAUUGUCAAACAUUGGACACGGAAACAGAUGAUUUGUCUUUUUUUUUUAUGGAGGGAGUACUCCGUACUA
rnacentral:misc_RNA from 1 species